ACCGAGGAAGGGGAUUAUCAAACCAAAUUGCGUAAUCUGAACCGGUUUUUGGACCAGGGAAAUAAAACAAAGGUAACGCUGUGGUUUCGGGGCCGCGAGAUGGCCCAUCAGGAUUUGGGUGCGCGGCUUCUCAAACGGGUGCAAGCGGACCUGGAGGAGAUCGCCAAGGUCGAGCAGAUGCCGAAACUGGAGGGAAGGCGUCUUUCCAUGGUGCUCUCGCCCAAAAAAUAGCUGGCGGAACUGAGCGGGAAAUAAACAAAUGAUUAUUAGUCAUUAUUGGAAACCCGGCGGGGUGAGCUGCAUUCGA
rnacentral:misc_RNA from 1 species